rnacentral:rRNA from 1 species
CAGUCGCCGCGGUAAUACGAAGGGUGCAAGCGUUACUCGGAAUUACUGGGCGUAAAGCGUGCGUAGGUGGUGGUUUAAGUCCGUUGUGAAAGCCCUGGGCUCAACCUGGGAAUUGCAGUGGAUACUGGGUCACUAGAGUGUGGUAGAGGAUAGUGGAAUUUCCGGUGUAGCAGUGAAAUGCGUAGAGAUCGGGAGGAACAUCAGUGGCGAAGGCGGCCAUCUGGGACAACACUGACGCUGAGGCACGAAAGCGUGGGGAGCAAACAGGAUUAGAUACCCCGGUAGUCCCUGUCUCUUAUAC